rnacentral:rRNA from 1 species
CGCGUAGGAACCUGCCCAGUAGUGGGGGAUAGCCCGGUGAAAACCGGAUUAAUACCGCAUACGCUCUACGGAGGAAAGGGGGCUUCGGCUCUCGCUAUUGGAUGGGCCUGCGUGAGAUUAGCUAGUUGGUGAGGUAAUGGCUCACCAAGGCGACGAUCUCUAGCUGGUCUGAGAGGAUGAUCAGCCACACUGGGACUGAGACACGGCCCAGACUCCUACGGGAGGCAGCAGUGAGGAAUAUUGGGCAAUGGAGGCAACUCUGACCCAGCCAUGCCGCGUGCAGGAAGACUGCCCUAUGGG